CGCCAUUUUCACGUGAACAGCAUUGGCAUCGACAUCGCUGUGUAUGGCAACAGUUUUAAUCCCCAUCUUCUUGCAUGUUUUGAUGACUCGGCAUGCAAUCUCUCCUCUGUUGGCAAUAAGGAGCUUUUCAAAAGUCUUUUCGUUUGGAUCAUACACAGCAGAAUACAGCUUAUGUGAUGUUUUAAGGCACUGUCUUGAACAAAGCGUUUCACACUCUCGCAGCGCCCGGCGGCCGCCCCGUGCCCCACAGCGCAGCAGCAGCACCGCCGCCAUGACUGCCGCCCUCCCG
rnacentral:lncRNA from 1 species